UUGAUGUUCAAGACAGAAGACUGGAGAGAU
rnacentral:piRNA from 1 species